CAUCGCCUCUUGCAAAGCUAAAGAAUAAGAGGUCCCGCCUGCCCUGUGACUAUUAGUUUAACGGCCGCGGUAUUUUGACCGUGCAAAGGUAGCGCAAUCACUUGUCUUUUAAAUGAAGACCUGUAUGAAUGGCACAACGAGGGCUUAACUGUCUCCUCUUUCAAGUCAAUGAAAUUGAUCUCCCCGUGCAGAAGCGGGGAUAUAAACAUAAGACGAGAAGACCCUAUGGAGCUUUAGACACCAAAGAAGAUCCUGUCAAGUAACCCCUGAUAAGAGCCUGAACUAAUGGAAUCCUUCCCUAAUGUCUUUGGUUGGGGCGACCGCGGGGAAACAAAAAACCCCCACGUGGAAAGGGAGCACCCCCUCCUACAACUAAGAGCCGCAGCUCUAAUUAACAGAAUAUCUGACCAAUAAGAUCCGGCAAUGCCGAUCAACGGACCGAGUUACCCUAGGGAUAACAGCGCAAUCCCCUUUUAGAGCCCAUAUCGACAAGGGGGUUUACGACCUCGAUGUUGGAUCAGGACAUCCUAAUGGUGCAGCCGCUAUUAAGGGUCCGUUUGUUCAACGGUUAAAGUCCUACGUGA
rnacentral:rRNA from 1 species